GACUACUGGGGUAUCUAAGCCGGUUCGCUCCCCACGCUUUCGUGCCUCAGCGUCAGAAAUGGUCCAGUAACCUGCCUACGCCAUUGGUGUUCCUUCUAAUAUCUACGGAUUUCACUCCUACACUAGAAAUUCCAGUUACCUCUACCACUCUCGAGUUAGCCAGUUCGAAUAAUAGUCUGUAUGGUUGAGCCACCAGGUUUCACUAUUCGCUUAACUAACCGCCUACGCAACUCUUUACGCCCAGUCACUCCGGAUAACGCUUGGGUCCUACGUAUGACCGCGGCUGCUGGCACGUAGUUAGCCGACCCUUAUUCAUUUGUUACCGUCAUAUUCUUCACAAAUAAAAGCAGUUUACGACCCGAAGGCCUUCAUCCUGCACGCGGCGUUGCUCCAUCAGGGUUGCCCCCAUUGUGGAAGAUUCCUCACUGCUGCCCCCCGUAGG
rnacentral:rRNA from 1 species